CCUACGGGAGGCAGCAGUGAGGAAUAUUGGUCAAUGGACGAAAGGCUGAACCAGCCAAGUAGCGUGAAGGAUGACUGCUCUAUGGGUUGUAAACUUCUUUUAUAUGGGAAUAAAACAGGGUAUGCAUACCCUCUUGUAUGUACCCUAUGAAUAAGGAUCGGCUAACUCCGUGCCAGCAGCCGCGGUAAUACGGAGGAUCCGAGCGUUAUCCGGAUUUAUUGGGUUUAAAGGGAGCGUAGAUUGGUUUUUAAGUCAGCUGUGAAAGUUUGCGGCUCAACCGUAAAAUUGCAAUUGAUACUGGAAGUCUUGAGUAUAUUUGAGGUAGGCGGAAUUCGUGGUGUAGCGGUGAAAUGCUUAGAUAUCACGAAGAACUCCGAUUGCGAAGGCAGCUUACUAAAC
rnacentral:rRNA from 1 species